AAUCAACGCUGGCGGCGUGCCUAACACAUGCAAGUCGAACGCGAAAGCCCCUUCGGGGGUAAGUAGAGUGGCGUCCGGGUGAGUAACACGUGGGUAAUCUACCUUCGGGUGGGGAAUAACUCAGGGAAACUUGAGCUAAUACCGCAUAAUGCAGCGGCACCUAAUGGUGAUUAGUUGUUAAAGCGGGGGAUCGCAAGACCUCGCGCCUGAAGAGGAGCCUGCGGCAGAUUAGCAGUUGGUGAGGUAAUGGCUCACCAAGGCUUCGAUCUGUAGCUGGUCUGAGAGGACGGCCAGCCACACUGGCACUGACACACGGGCCAGACUCCUACGGGAGGCAGCAGUGGGGGAAUUUUGGGCAAUGGGCGAAAGCCUGACCCAGCAACGCCGCGUGAGGGAGGAAAUCCUUCGGGAUGUAAACCCCACAAGACAAGGGAAGAGAGCUACGGGCUGAAUAAU
rnacentral:rRNA from 1 species